rnacentral:rRNA from 1 species
CCUACGGGAGGCAGCAGUGAGGAAUAUUGGUCAAUGGGCGCAGGCCUGAACCAGCCAAGUCGCGUGAGGGAUUACUGCCCUAUGGAUUGUAAACCUCUUUUGUCAGGGAGCAAAAGCCGGACGUGUCCGGCUGUUAGAGUACCCGAAGAAAAAACAUCGGCUAACUCCGUGCCAGCAUCCCCGGUAAUACGGAGGAUGCGAGCGUUAUCCUGGUUUAUUGGGUUUAAAGGGUGCGCAGGCGGAUUUUUAAGUCAGCGGUAAAAUCGUGGGGCUCAACCCCAUCCAGCCGUUGAAACUGGGGAUCUAGAGUGUGCGAGAGGUAUGCGGAAUGCGUGGUGUAGCGGUGAAAUGCAUAGAUAGCACGCAGAACCCCGAUUGCGAAGGCAGCAUACCGGUGCACAACUGACGCUCAGGCACGAAAGCGUGGGUAUCGAACAGGAUUAGAUACCCUAGUAGUC